UGCAGUCGAGCGGAUGAGUGGAGCUUGCUCCAUGAUUCAGCGGCGGACGGGUGAGUAAUGCCUAGGAAUCUGCCUGGUAGUGGGGGAUAACGUUUCGAAAGGAACGCUAAUACCGCAUACGUCCUACGGGAGAAAGUGGGGGAUCUUCGGACCUCACGCUAUCAGAUGAGCCUAGGUCGGAUUAGCUAGUUGGUGGGGUAAUGGCCCACCAAGGCGACGAUCCGUAACUGGUCUGAGAGGAUGAUCAGUCACACUGGAACUGAGACACGGUCCAGACUCCUACGGGAGGCAGCAGUGGGGAAUAUUGGACAAUGGGCGAAAGCCUGAUCCAGCCAUGCCGCGUGUGUGAAGAAGGUCUUCGGAUUGUAAAGCACUUUAAGUUGGGAGGAAGGGCAGUAAGUUAAUACCUUGCUGUUUUGACGUUACCAACAGAAUAAGCACCGGCUAACUUCGUGCCA
rnacentral:rRNA from 1 species